UGGGGAAUUUUGCACAAUGGGGGAAACCCUGAUGCAGCGACGCCGCGUGAUUUAGAAGGCCUUCGGGUUGUAAAAAUCUUUUCUAUGGGAUGAAAAUGACAGUACCAUAAGAAUAAGGUCCGGCUAAAUACGUGCCAGCAGCCGCGGUAAUACGUAUGGACCGAGCGUUGUCCGGAAUCAUUGGGCGUAAAGGGUACGUAGGCGGCCCAGUAAGUUAGAAGUGAAAUAAUAUAGCUCAACUAUAUAAAGCUUUUAAAACUGCUAGGCUUGAGAGAUGGAAGGGAAAGUGGAAUUCCUAGUGUAGCGGUGAAAUGCGCAGAUAUUAGGAAGAAUACCGGUGGCGAAGGCGACUUUCUGGUCAUCAUCUGACGCUGAGGUACGAAAGCGUGGGUAGCAAACAGG
rnacentral:rRNA from 1 species